UGUACUUGAAAAGCCUUGUUUAUUCUGCAAGCCAGGUCCAGCGCAGGAAGCGACGCCGCAAGCUUUCCCAAACUGACCUGCCGCAGUGACCACAUGCCAGAUCGGGAAGGACCACCCUGGGAAUAAGGAGCAAUUCAGACUUCUUACCAGCUAAU
ensembl:misc_RNA